rnacentral:rRNA from 1 species
CCUACGGGCGGCAGCAGUGGGGAAUCUUGCGCCAAUGCGCGAAAGCGUGACGCAGCGACGCCGCGUGGGGGAUGAAGGCCUUCGGGUUGUAAACCCCUUUCGGCAGGGACGAAGCGAAAGUGACGGUACCUGCAGAAGAAGCUCCGGCUAACUACGUGCCAGCAGCCGCGGUAACACGUAGGGAGCGAGCGUUGUCCGGAUUCAUUGGGCGUAAAGCUCGCGUAGGCGGUCGUGCAAGUCGGUCGUGAAAUCCCGGGCCUCAACCCCGCGAACCGCGUCCGAUACUGCACGACUGGAGGCAGGUAGGGGAGAGCGGAAUUCCUGGUGUAGCGGUGAAAUGCGCAGAUAUCAGGAGGAACACCGGUGGCGAGGGCGGAUCUCUGGACCGAUACUGACGCUGAGACGCGAAAGCGUGGGGAGCAAACAGGAUUAGAUCCCCCUGUAGU